rnacentral:lncRNA from 1 species
CCCCGCUGCCCUGCUCUCCCUGAUGGAGGUUCCAUGAGCCUGCCCUGCUGUUGGUGGCUCUCUGAGCCCCCGGCGGCCGAGGCUGCGAGCGGGCUCUGCUCUCAAGGAAUCCAAGGCUAAGGCGCAGCUGUGUCCAGUGCAGACCCCUCGCCUCAAGCCGGUGUGAGCUCUGCUCCGAGAUCAGCGAAGUCUUGCUCCAGCUUUCUCCUAUCGAUUGGAUCGCUCUGGCCCCGAUUCUAGGAGCGAUGCCUCCAGGAGGAUAAAUGCAAAUCGCCCUAUUGAUUGGGAGGAGUAGAAGUGCAGCUCGUUUGGGGGAGGGAGGAUUCGUUUUAAAUGAAGAAAAAAAGUGAACAUGUAUCACUGAUCAUUUCUGGAACGCAGCUCCCCUCCUCCACUUUGAAGGUGACUGGGUUUCACUGGGGACACGCUAAUUGCUGCUGAAAAUGAGCAGGGAGUAAUGUGGAGGCCUCUAUCCACCUCCUUGAACUGCCCAGUGACAGGGGAAAGGCCUAAACCCCUCAUGGUGGCCAUCCUCUCAUGCCAAUGCUGGGACUCUCAGGCACAUGGAGAUUCUGGAGAAGGUGAUGGAUGUGAUUUGGGACUUCACUGGAGGGACUCUGACAUUUGGAAGCAGACUCUUGCACAGCUGCACUGCUCACAUGCUCCUGAGCCUCUUCUGGAAUGUGACUGUAGAGAAGAGCAGGUGUUGUCCUGAGCUUUGCUGGCCUGUCAGGAGAAAUCCUGUUCUGGAAUAGUUCAGGACACUAGGUGCUCACCUGAAUUGGUCUUUUAGAAGGAUUCGUCAGUCCUUCCAGAAACUUGGCACUGCAACUGUUGGCUUCUGAAACGAAGUAAAAGAAUCAAACCAGCAUUUGUGUGGCCUGCAAAGACUCGUUGGAUGGAUCUCUUGUUUUAGUUGGCAAUUUCUUCUUAAAGAGAAGAUUUCACAUCUGUGACAGAGCUUUGAGCUGAUGCAGAGAAUGUGCUCCUGUGAGAUGCUGCCCAAAGCAGUCCCUUUCUGUGAGAUGCCCAGAGGCUGAUUUUGCAACCAGGUCCUUCUGUUCAUGUUGGCUUCAAAGGCCUUCACGUAUCUGGUGGGAGGGAACAGCCCUGUGCUCUGCAGGCUCUGACUACAGGCUCUGUAGUCCAUUCAAGUGGAGGCUUUAGGCUGCUCUCCCAUGGCUGCUGGAGACAUGUAAUGCGGCCUCAGGCUCCUGACGCUUUCCUUGAUGGUUCGUUAUAGUCAUUAUCCCACAUUCCUUCUGGUUGCAGAACAUGUUGUUAUUAUUGCUUUGUGCUGGGUCUGUCUCCUGUCCCUUUUUUACAGGCCAAUCCGGCCCUAUUAGCUCUUGUCUCUAAAACAAAAGCAAAUUAGCACUGCAGAAGCUGAAUUAUCUUGUUUAUGUUAUAGUAUGUCAGGGGACCCCACACAAUCCUUGCAUGUCUCUCUGAGCAGUGUGCCAGAGAGUGAAGAGACACAGUAAGUCGGUCAAACCCUCCUGGCACUCUGACCCAAUCCACAGGUUUCCAAAAGGGUCUUUAGUUGCUUUGGGGAAGCUAAGGCUGGUCAGUGAUCCCUGCUGUCCCUCCCUCAGUUUUGGUAUUUUAUGCACGCUUGUGCAUACAGAACUAGAAAUUUUUUUACAGUAAAUUGUACCUCUCAACUCAAACUUGACAGCUGUCAAUGAAAUUUGCUGUUCAAAACUGAUCUCAAGCACAUUGCCCUCUGGUUAGUCUGUCUGUGCUCCCUUGGCCAGGAUGUUUAUAAUACUCAGGGAGUCUCUCAUGUUACUUAGUGCAGUAAUGUGGCUCCAUGAAUAAAAGCCAUUUCCAGUCUGUCGGUACUGCA